rnacentral:lncRNA from 1 species
GACGCCAUCAUGGUGAAGGUGAGGAAGAAGAAGUCGAAAUCAGCCUUGAGACCGGAUUGCACAUUUCGAGCUAUGGCAUCCUCAUCCUCGUUCGCUCGUCAGCAUCAGUAGCCCACCGAAGUUCUCAAGGUUGAUUUUGACUUCUUCCUCACCUCGGCCAUGUUGAUGUGUGCUGAUUCUUUGGCAAUGAUUUGCUCCUGUUGUACUUGCAGCUGAAAAAAAAGAAUACGUGUUCGUGCAUGCUAUCUAUCAGAGACCAUGCAGUACAAUUAAUUCACAAAG